GACCUUGUGUAGCUCAGCGGUUAAGAUGUUGUACUUCUGAUUGGAAGGUCUUGAGUUCAAAUCCCAGCACUGCCA